UUUUAGUUAGUUAAACUGAUUUCUCUUCAACGAUCAACACCAAGUUUCAAUCGUUAGACAAAAACUUACAGAAACAUUCAGAAAAUGAGUGAAGAAACUAAAUCACCAGCUCUACAUCCCUAGUGACCCGACCAGGCAUCUUCUCUAUCGGAUCCUCCAGCGUUGGCAAACGCACCCUCCUCUCUAGUAACCCCCACUCUCGCUGUUCGAUUGGUUCUUUAAUCAUUUUUUAAUUUAUUGAUCAAUUUUGAUUGGAUGGAAGCUGUCACUUGAUUGUGAAGACUCCUUUGACUCAUCAAAUCAAGUUAUCUCACAUGGAUGGAUUAUUAAUACAAAGUACUACGCGGCUGAUGUUGCUCUAUGGAUGGCUCAUCUUCAUGAAGGAUUUUCAAUUGGAUCACUUCCAUUUUACAACAAGCUUACUGCUUUGGUUAUGGUUUUUGACUUAGUGAUUUAUCAUCUCUUGUUGCACUUAAGGAUUGGGUCGCUGGAACUGAUAUUAGCAACUUUGAGAUAUUGUUGUGUGUUGGGAAUAAAGUUGAUCGGAUUCCUGGUCAUCCUGUUCAUGCUAAAUAUAGAAAACAGCUAAGGAAAAUUGGAGAGUUGGGGUCUUUUGAUAAUCUGAUUAUAGAGUUUGAUGAGUUUGGAAUUUCUGAAACUUAAAGAAGUAGUUUGUUGGAUGAUGAAGAAGAGCCAUUGCGGGAGAUGAAGAGGUCCUGUAUUGAAUGGUGCACUGAGAAUGGCAUUGAGUACAUUGACGCUUGUGCUUUGGACGUUGAUUUUGACAAAUGUGAGUACCAUCUUCUAUCUCCAAGUUUGUAAUGAUUUCAAAAGGGAUUUCAUGACUUUUCCAAGUUCCUGAUGGAUAGCAAAUACUCAAUAAAUGACAUUAUGCAAUAUGUAGUUUUCUCAAGUAAAAUCAUGAUGUUAAUAAUAAUGUAGAACCUGAUGUUUGUCAUUCUACCUAACUUUUGAUAUAUCUAUCUAUCUUUAGAAUGAGAAGUGUUUUGAUGGUUUAUAAUUGAGGUCAACAAUUUUGUAGAAUUUCAGUAAGGACAUUCAACCUGCUUUACUGAAACUUUUUCCCGCUGAUGGAUUGAGAAUUGAAAUUUUGAAGUGAAAGAGAAGCAGGAAUAGAACAUGACUGGGUCUUCAUGGAGAUUAACAUAGGACUUAGUCAUAGAUUUAGGUUGAUGAAAGAUUAACCAGGGAACAAACAAAAGUUGUAAGGUUUUAACUAAUAUUAAAUCACUAUGUAUCUCACUUUUGGUAUCUAGGAGAAUUGCAAUGCUCUUUCUGCUCAUAUGUGGCCAGCAAUGAUCCUGAAAUCUGACAAUAAGAUAUCUCGACCAACGUUACCUGAUAAAGAAGAAAUCUCUGGAGAAUCUGAUUAUGACUUUGAGUAUAAAGUACUAUCUGCUGGUCAGCUGAACCACGGGACGACACAUAUGGAGGAUGGGUUUCUGCAAAUGGUACAAUUGCAAAUGUUUCUGAAAUAAUUAUAUCAAAGAAUGUGAGAAUGAGAACAGAGAAAAGUUUGGUAAAGAAGAGAUACAGCCCUCGUCAUCAGCAAUGGAAUUGCUGAGUGAUAAGGGAGUGGUGCCUAAUGUACAAGAGCCUCGUGAAAAUUGAGAGUCGGAUGAAGCUACACCUUCUGACUUUGAGGAUUUAGAACAGUUGAUGUCUGAAAUAGGAAAUGUGCGUGACAGCUCAAGGUUGUGCCUGAUUUUCAAAGAAGGUAAAUGGCUCCUAAUUUGGCCAUGAAAAUGGCUGCCAUGUUUGGUGGUGGCAGUGAUGAUGAGGAGGAGGAAGUUGAAUGAUUAGAUGGAUUGGCUUGGACUCAUUAGUUUAAUCUGCAUCCUUAUAAUCUAGUUCAUGGUGAUUUUGGGGUGGUAAUGGUCCAAUCUUCUACAAGGUAAAGCUUCCUGAAAUUUUGUGUUGAUCUCUUGAUGUCACUUGUCGAGUCCCCCUUUCCAGCUUGAGAAGAUAAUUACUGAGAUAUCCUUAUUUUGUACUAAUUACGGUUAGAUGAGGGUUUAAUGA